UACGUAGGGUGCAAGCGUUGUCCGGAAUUAUUGGGCGUAAAGAGCUCGUAGGCGGUCUGUUACGUCGGCUGUGAAAACCUGGGGCUCAACUCCGGGCCUGCAGCCGAUACGGGCAGACUAGAGUUCGGCAGGGGAGACUGGAAUUCCUGGUGUAGCGGUGGAAUGCGCAGAUAUCAGGAGGAACACCGGUGGCGAAGGCGGGUCUCUGGGCAGUAACUGACGCUGAGGAGCGAAAGCGUGGGGAGCGAACAGG
rnacentral:rRNA from 1 species